CAAUAUGAAGGUCAGGCUGAAGACCUUACCCGAUUGGCUGAGAGGUGGUGCAUGGCCAUCGUCAGUUCGUACUGUGGAGCAUCCUGUUAAGUCAGGCAACGAGCGAGACCCACGUCCACAGUUGCCAGCAUACCCUCCGGGGUGAUGGGUACACUGUGGAGACCGCCGCUGCUAAAGCGGAGGAAGGAGUGGGCAACGGUAGGUCAGUAUGCCCCGAAUCUCCCGGGCUACACGCGGGCUACAAUGGUUGGUACAAUGGGCAUCUACCCCGAAAGGGGAAGGAAAUCUCUUAAAGCCAAUCGUAGUUCGGAUUGAGGGCUGCAACUCGCCCUCAUGAAGCUGGAAUCCGUAGUAAUCGCGUUUCAACAGAACGCGGUGAAUACGUCCCUGCUCCUU
rnacentral:rRNA from 1 species